AACGAACGCUGGCGGCAGGCCUAACACAUGCAAGUCGAACGAGAAGCCAGGGCUUGCCCUGGUGGAUAGUGGCGCACGGGUGAGUAACGCGUGGGAACCUGCCCUGGGGUGGGGAACAACCGCUGGAAACGGCGGCUAAUACCGCAUACGUCCUUUGGGAGAAAGGCUUCGGCCGCCCCUGGAUGGUCCCGCGUCUGAUUAGCUUGUUGGUGAGGUAACGGCUCACCAAGGCGACGAUCAGUAGCUGGUCUGAGAGGAUGAUCAGCCACACUGGAACUGAGACACGGUCCAGACUCCUACGGGAGGCAGCAGUGGGGAAUAUUGGACAAUGGGCGAAAGCCUGAUCCAGCCAUGCCGCGUGAGUGAAGAAGGCCUUAGGGUUGUAAAGCUCUUUCAGUCGUGAAGAUGGUGACUGUAGCGACAGAAGAAGCCCCGGCUAACUCCG
rnacentral:rRNA from 1 species